rnacentral:rRNA from 1 species
GGACCAAGGAGUCUAGCAUGUGCGCGAGUCAUUGGGACUCAAUAAACCUAAAGGCGCAAUGAAAGUGAAAGUCUGUUUACGCGGACUUAGGGAGGAUAGGUGCGUACACUUGUGUACAACCUCGCACUCCCGGGGCGUCUCGCACUCAUUGCGAGGUGGGGCGCACCAAGAGCGUACACGCUGGGACCC